rnacentral:rRNA from 1 species
AUCUCAAAUCAGGUAGGACUACCCGCUGAACUUAAGCAUAUCAAUAAGCGGAGGAAAAGAAACUAACAAGGAUUCCCCUAGUAACUGCGAGUGAAGCGGGAAGAGCUCAAAUUUAAAAUCUGGCGUGCCUCUGGCCGUCCGAGUUGUAGUCUGGAGAAG